rnacentral:rRNA from 1 species
UACGUAGGGUGCAAGCGUUGUCCGGAAUUAUUGGGCGUAAAGAGCUCGUAGGCGGUCUGUCGCGUCUGCUGUGAAAACUCAGGGCUUAACCCUGAGCUUGCAGUGGGUACGGGCAGACUAGAGUGCGGUAGGGGAGACUGGAAUUCCUGGUGUAGCGGUGAAAUGCGCAGAUAUCAGGGGGAACACCGGUGGCGAAGGCGGGUCUCUGGGCCGUAACUGACGCUGAGGAGCGAAAGCGUGGGGAGCGAACAGG